CAGAAAAACAACUUUCAAAGAAGGAAUUGAAGAAGAAAGAGCUUGCAGAACUAGAUGCUGUUCUGGCCGAGUUGGGGAUUUCUGAAAAUGCUACACUGGCUGACGUCACGAGUAAAUCUGAAAGAAAGCCUGAUGGACAGAAAGGAGAUGGGGAUAAGAAGGGUCUUCCUGUACCAUCAGAAAGCAAGACUUC